GACGAACGCUGGCGGCGUGCUUAAUACAUGCAAGUCGAACGGAAAGGCCCUGCUCUUGCGGGGUGCUCGAGUGGCGCACGGGUGAGUAACACGUGAGUAACCUGCCCUUGACUUUGGGAUAACUUCAGGAAACUGGGGCUAAUACAGGAUAGGAGCUCUUGCUGCAUGGUGGGGGUUGGAAAGUUACGGCGGUUGGGGAUGGACUCGCGGUCUAUCAGCGUGUUGGUGGGGUAGUGGCUUACCAAGGCUCUGACGGGUAGCCGGCCUGGGAGGGUGACCGGGCACAAUGGGACUGAGGUACGACCCAGACGGCUACGGGAGGCAGCAGUGGGGAAUAUUGCACAAUGGGCGGAAGCCUGAUGCAGCAACGCCGCGUGCGGGAUGACGGCCUUCGGGUUGUAAACCUCUUUCGCCUGUAACGAAGCGUGAGUGACGGUAAUGGGUAAAGAAGCACCGGCUAACUACGUG
rnacentral:rRNA from 1 species